GACGAACGCUGGCGGCGUGCUUAACACAUGCAAGUCGAGUGGUAAGGCCCUUUCGGGGGUACACGAGCGGCGAACGGGUGAGUAACACGUGGGUGACCUGCCCUCAGCUCUGGGAUAAGCCUGGGAAACCGGGUCUAAUACUGGAUAUGACUCCAUGACGCAUGUUGUGGGGUGGAAAGCCUUGUGCGGCUGAGGAUGGGCCCGCGGCCUAUCAGCUUGUUAGUGGGGUGANGGCCUACCAAGGCGACGACGGGUAGCCGGCCUGAGAGGGCGACCGGCCACACUGGGACUGAGACACGGCCCAGACUCCUACGGGAGGCAGCAGUGGGGAAUCUUGCGCAAUGGGCGAAAGCCUGACGCAGCGACGCCGCGUGAGGGAUGACGGCCUCGGUGUAAC
rnacentral:rRNA from 1 species